UUGACACCCCCCGGGGGUCGACGUAGAGUACUCUGCGCAGUACUGGCUAGGAUCUGUACCUAGGCAGUCUCGGCCACGGGGGUAUAAAAUUUCUGAACUUCGCGAUUUCCGAUGGUCCAUGGGGUAGGUUUAUACUUGCUCUUCAUGGGCCGGGAGGUGUAAGUCCUCAUCCACCAGGGUAUUGGUAGCCAAAUAGCAAACUGGACCAUUGAGAGUCCGGUCACUGCUGUCCUUGGAAUUCCAUGUAAAGCCUAAGGAGAGGGGCAUCCCGCGUAGUGCUGGCAGGUAGCCAAAUUAACGGCCAGUCAUCGCUUCAAGUUGUCAUCACCCACCCCACCGUGGUCUCGGGCCAGCCGGAACGGUGGUCUUGACUGGUCCGUGUUUAGCGGUGGGUUUGCUGUUCGUUGAGCGUUCAGCGGUUGGAGCCAAAAAUGGUUGGUGUCUCGGGGAUGUGGGACCCUGGGCCCAGCAGGUGUGUUUAAAGUCAUCUCGAGUGACUGUUUCUGGUUUGAUACCAGUCCCCGAAUGUGAUUUAGUUCACGGGCGGUGGUAUAGACUACAGUUACAGUUUCCAUUCGACAGCAAACGGGAGAGCGAGUCUGACCCCUUCAAAUUCCGUCGGCGGAAAAUGAAGUGGAGAUUCUGUGCGGAAGUGACGUUUAUUGCAUCCAGUCUGUCUCACCUCUACAUUGCUCGAGGCUCAAGGAAAGGGGGGUAGUUUGUUGUCAAAAGUGCUGCUUAGCACGUGCUUUUCAAUGAGGAUGGCGGUAUCAAAAAAAAUUACCAAUAAGUUAGAGUAAAUGGUGAAAUUUUUCGAAAAACUCUGCAGCUGUUAAGUGAUAAACUUGAUAGAACAUUUAGUAAAGAGCACAGAAAAAAGAAAUGGAAAGAGUCAAUGGAUAUUUUACACAAAACUGCAUAAGUGAAGAGCCAUAAUGGCAGUAUGCAUAAAUAAGCAAUACAUUUUCAACAUUCAAAUAGCAACUCACAGAACUGCAGGGGCCAGAGAUAUGAUAAUGUUGCAUAUAUAAGAAGAAAAAAUAAAGGCGUUCAAGGCACACUAUCAUGAAACAAAACCUAUAGACAUGGGGAUGCCAUAGCUUAAACUUGAUGAUUGGAGACUGUAUAACAAGUUGGCUGGAAUCCAGCCCCCUUUUUUUGGUACUGCAUAGUAUAUCUAUGUUUUCUUUUUUGCCUCUUCUGGGAGAUGGCAUGCACUGGAAAAUCAUGCUAAAACCUUUUACGUAAGACUAGAUAUGACAGCAAAAUAGAAUGUGUUCAAACAAUAAAAAAUGAAAUCAUGAAAAUUUGGGAAGUUCUUUAUGAACUUUCAGAAAUGCAGAUUCUGAUCCUGUAGUAUGAUAUGAAACAGAGACUCUUGUAACACAAAUAGAAGAUCAUAGUUUUUUAGUGAUGAUAAAUAUCUGGUAUGAUGUCUAAGCCAUGGUAAAUGUUCUCAGUAAAACUAUGCAGAAUAUUUCUGUGGAACUAUCUACUGCAGUUUCAUAAAUGAACAGUAUCACUGAUUAUUUAACUGAUUUAACUGAUUAACUGUAAAUGUGAUGAAAAAGCACUAGAGUUAGAAAAGAAUUAGCUACAGUAUUCACACAUAGAGUCCAUUUUUGAAACUGAAAGAAUAAAAAAAAAGGAGGAGUUUUUUGAAUAUAAGUGCAGUGACAAAGUUCCAAUUGCAGAUAAAUGAGAAAAAAAGAUUUAAAAAUGUGUUCAAUGUAACACUGGACUGAGCUAUUAAUUCAUCAGCGAUAUUUGAUUAUUACAAAGUUUCAAUAAAAAAUGGGGAUUUUUAAAUGACUUUAAAGAUCUCUGUCAGAUAAAAUUAAACUCAAAACGGCUUGUCAAGUUUGAAGAGUAAGUACCAAGAAAAUAGUGGUGUUGAUGGAUCUGAUCUUUUGACUGAAAUAGAUACAGCCAAAGAAUUACUUCCCGAAGAUGUAAAUCUUCCAAUAGAAACUGCUAGAUUUAUAAAUAUUUAUCAGUUACAAGAUAGCUGGCCAUAUCUGGGUUGGAUUUACUACAAUACCUAUUAUUGUCUCCAGUAAACUUUAUAUGCUUUAGUAAAAGUUAAUAAGUUUUAGUAAACUAAAGCUUAAAAAUCACACAUUUAGCUUCAUCCCUACUUUAAUUACUAAUCAUACACAGCCUACUUUAAUUUUCAAGACAGACUGAAUUCUUUGGCAAUUUUGUAUAUACAAAAUGAUAUUGUAAGGAAAAUAAAUACAGAAACAGAAAGUGAAAAAAAAAUUGUAAUAAUGUUGAUAAAAUGUUUUAGAUAGGUUAAUUUUUCAUAUUGUGUAAAUACUGGUUGAGAAAAACCCCAUUGUUCAAUAUAUGUUAAAAAGCAGUCAAUUCUUUUCCAUUUUUAGCCCAAAAGGGCAAUUAGCUCAGAAGGGCUAUUCAUUUUGUUUUGCCAUUUUGCGUCGCCCAUAAUAAAACAGCUUUUCACUUUUUGAA